UGGGGAAUAUUGCACAAUGGGGGAAACCCGUGAUGCAGCGACGCCGCGUGAACGAAGAAGUAUUUCGGUAUGUAAAGUUCUAUCAGCAGGGAAGAUAAUGACGGUACCUGACUAAGAAGCACCGGCUAAAUACGUGCCAGCAGCCGCGGUAAUACGUAUGGUGCAAGCGUUAUCCGGAUUUACUGGGUGUAAAGGGAGCGCAGGCGGUUUGGCAAGUCUGAUGUGAAAUCCGGGGCUCAACCCCGGAACUGCAUUGGAAACUGUCAGACUAGAGUGUCGGAGAGGUAAGUGGAAUUCCUAGUGUAGCGGUGAAAUGCGUAGAUAUUAGGAGG
rnacentral:rRNA from 1 species